rnacentral:misc_RNA from 1 species
GAUGAAGAACGUAGCGAAAUGCGAUAAGUAAUGCGAAUUGCAGAAUUUCCGUGAGUUAUCGAAUCUUUGAACGCACAUUGCGCCCGCCAGUAUUCUGGCGGGCAUGCCUGUUCGAGCGUCAUUACAACCCUCAGGCCCCCGGGCCUGGCGUUGGGGAUCGGCGGAGCCCCCCGUGGGCACACGCCGUCCCCCAAAUGCAGUGGCGGUCCCGCCGCAGCUUCCAUCGCGUAGUAGCUAACACCUCGCGACUGGAGAGCGGCGCGGCCACGCCGUAAAACACCCAACUCUUCUGAAGUUGACCUCGAAUCAGGUAGGAAUACCCGCUGAACUUAAGCAUAUCAAUAAGCGGAGGA